GCAUAUCAAUAAGCGGAGGAAAAGAAACCAACAGGGAUUGCCUCAGUAACGGCGAGUGAAGCGGCAACAGCUCAAAUUUGAAAUCGGGCGCCCGCCCGAGUUGUAAUUUGCAGAGGAUGCUUCUGGGCAGCGAGCCGGUCUAAGUCUCUUGGAACAGGGCGUCAUAGAGGGUGAGAAUCCCGUAUGCGACCGGCCGCGCACCCUCCACGAAGCUCCUUCGACGAGUCGAGUUGUUUGGGAAUGCAGCUCAAAAUGGGAGGUAAAUGUCUUCUAAAGCUAAAUACCGGCCAGAGACCGAUAGCGCACAAGUAGAGUGAUCGAAAGAUGAAAAGCACUUUGGAAAGAGAGUCAAACAGCACGUGAAAUUGUUGAAAGGGAAGCGCAUGCGCCCAGACGCGUCGGCGGCGUUCCGCCGGUCUUCUUGACCAGGCUCACUUCGCCGCCGACGGGCCAGCAUCGCUUGGGCGCGCCGGAAAAAGGCGCGGGGAAUGUGGCCCCCUUCGGGGGGUGUUAUAGCCUCGCGCGCCAUGCGGCGACGCCCGAGCGAGGACCGCGCUUCGGCGAGGAUGCUGGCGUAAUGGGCGCCUGCGGCCCGUCUUGAAACACGGACCAAGGAGUCUAACAUCUACGCGAGUGUUUGGGUGUCAAACCCCGACGCGCAAUGAAAGUGAACGGAGGUGGGAACCUUUGCGGGUGCACCAUCGACCGAUCCUGAUGUCUUCGGAUGGAUUUGAGUAAGAGCGUAGCUGUUGGGACCCGAAAGAUGGUGAACUAUGCCUGAAUAGGGUGAAGCCAGAGGAAACUCUGGUGGAGGCUCGCAGCGGUUCUGACGUGCAAAUCGAUCGUCAAAUUUGGGUAUAGGGGCGAAAGACUAAUCGAACCAUCUAGUAGCUGGUUCCUGCGA
rnacentral:rRNA from 1 species